GACAGUUUGGCCGAGUUAAGGCGCCAGAUUAAGGCUCUGGUCCGAAAGGGCGUGGGUUCAAAUCCCACAGCUAUCA
rnacentral:tRNA from 1 species